rnacentral:miRNA from 1 species
GGUCUGGGUGGAGCCUGAGAUCUGUAUUUCUCCAAGUUCCCAGAUGACAACCACACUGUGUGGUCAGGGGA